rnacentral:lncRNA from 1 species
AGAGGCAGAUUUUCAAAGGCCUCCAAACUCCAAUUAAGAUCAUUUUGGCUUAAGAACACCCUCUCAUUUAUUACAGGAUUUUCUUUAAGUACACAAAAGUUGCAUGCUAUGAUCUACCUUAUUUUGGAAUUAAGAAACACUUGAAGAUUAUUCUCAGAAAUGCCAUAAGGGAUAUUUAAAAAUCUUGGAGCACACAAGAAGUACAAGAGGAAUGAAAAUGUCAUGUCUUAAUUUUCCAAAAAAGAGAAUAUUUUAGUUUUUAGUAUAUAAAGGCAGAUUAACAAACCUUCACACAAAUCUAAAUUUUAUUACUAAAUUAAUUGAUUACACUUUGUGUUUACUAGGUCACAGGGAAUUUCAGUGGGUUUACUCUGCAAAAGAUUUCAUGUGAAAUACAUUUUUCUAUUCUGAAAGGUUUUUCAAGAUUUUCAAGGCAACUAAGAAGUUUUCUAAAAAGACAGUGUUUGUAAUACAGGCUCUAUAGAAAGCAUCGUUGUGGAGGCCUCAGGAAACUUACAAUCAUGGCAGAAGGCGAAGGGAAGCAGGCACAUCUUACGUGGCUGGAGAAGGAGGAAGAGAGAGCAGAGGAAGGUGCUACACAUUUUUAAACAACCGGAUCUCAUGAGAACUCACUCACUAUCACAAGAACAGCAGGGAAAUCCACCCCCAUGAUUCUAUCACCUCCCACUAGCCCUCUCCUCCUUCAACACUGGGGAUUACAACUCCACAUAAGGUUUGGGCAGGGACACACAUCCAAACCAUAUCAUCACUAAUUAAUGUUUCUGAAAGCUAGAGUUACAUUACAACCACCUGAGGAGCUUUUAGAAAAUUACAGAUCCCUGAGCUUCCAUCUAGAUUGAUUAAAUAAAAAUAUCUGGGCUUGAAUUCCUCGAGUUUGCAUUUUUUAAACUUUGUCAGUGAUUCUGAUGGUCAAUGAGUUUUGAGAACCACCGCUCUAAACCUUUCUGAAAUUUCUUCUUGUUCUAUAAAGUGAGGAUAAUAAUAUGAUAAGGAUAUCUCUGUCACAAUUUGAUGUAAGACAUAUAAAUAACUUAACCUAAAUCAGGUUCUCAGCACUGUAUCAGCUUAUAGAAGUAGAACGAGUAUGCAUUUUGCAAAUGAGUUCCUAAUCUAGCUGCAGUAUUUCCUAGGUCUGUCACAGUCAAGUCAUAGGACUUUGGAGAUUCAGUUUCCUCAUUUCUCAUAGGACCUUGGAGCCUCAGUUUUUCU